UACGUAGGGGGCAAGCGUUGUCCGGAAUUAUUGGGCGUAAAGAGCGUGUAGGCGGUCCGGUAAGUCCGCUGUGAAAGUCCAGGGCUCAACCCUGGAAUGCCGGUGAAUACUGCCGGGCUAGAGUCCGGAAGAGGCGAGUGGAAUUCCUGGUGUAGCGGUGAAAUGCGCAGAUAUCAGGAGGAACACCGAUGGCGAAGGCAGCUCGCUGGGACGGUACUGACGCUGAGACGCGAAAGCGUGGGGAGCAAACAGG
rnacentral:rRNA from 1 species